rfam:Candidatus Amoebophilus sp. 36-38 SCNpilot_cont_1000_p_scaffold_12666, whole genome shotgun sequence.
GAGAGUAGGUCUCUCGCAGUCGAUUUACAGGAAUAGGCUGCAAACUACUGUAAGCGGCGAAUGUAAAGAGCCCUUGUCGUGAGCGUUACAGAAAAGGCGCUAAUAAGCGCCAGGU